CUGGUGGUCUGUGCCAGAUAGGGAGUUGCAGGUAUUUUGGGAUGUUGGGCCCUGUAGUAUUAGAAAGCUGCAGGCCCCUGGAUCUGUUGGCAUGUCAGGGGUCUCUGGAUCUGCAGUCUCACGUCUCAGCACAUAGAGCCCUGAGUCUUUGGAUCUUGAUCUUUCUACACAAGUCCUUGUAAUUCUCUUUCAUGAAAAUAAAGUGUUCG